GUGCAGGCUAGGCAGCCGCGGAGGUCUACUUCGAGGAAAGUCCGGACAUCACAGGGCAGGGUGGUCGGUAACGCCGACCCGGGGAAACCCGCGGGACAGUGCCACAGAAAGCAAACCGCCAACGUUCGCGGCCGCACGUGAGUCGCGGGCACGGUAAGGGUGAAACGGUGCGGUAAGAGCGCACCGGCGUCGCGGUGACGCGGCGGCCAGGCAAACCCCACCUGAUGCAAGGCCAAGCAGGACCGCUUGCAGGUUGCCCGCCAAGGUCCAGGUCGGCCGCAAAGAUGGAUGGUUGCCCACGACAGAAUCCGGCUUACAGGCCUGCUACCGAG
rnacentral:RNase_P_RNA from 1 species